rnacentral:rRNA from 1 species
GUAGGUGGCAAGCGUUGUCCGGAAUUAUUGGGCGUAAAGCGCGCGCAGGUGGUUCUUUAAGUCUGAUGUGAAAGCCCCCGGCUCAACCGGGGAGGGUCAUUGGAAACUGGGGAACUUGAGUGCAGGAGAGGAAAGUGGAAUUCCACGUGUAGCGGUGAAAUGCGUAGAUAUGUGGAGGAACACCAGUGGCGAAGGCGACUUUCUGGCCUGUAACUGACACUGAGGCGCGAAAGCGUGGGGAGCAAACAGGGAUUAGAUACCCUGGUAGUCCACGCCGUAAACGAUGAGUGCUAAGUGUUGGGGGGGUUUCCGCCCCCUCAGUGCUGCAGUUAACGCAUUAAGCACUCCGCCUGGGGAUACGGUCGCAAGACUG